rnacentral:lncRNA from 1 species
UCUAUUGAUCACAAACCGUAAAUCCAAUAUUAUAUACACUAGAAAAUUAAUUGUAAAUAUAUAAUGUACAAAUUAAAAUACAUCCGUAACUCUAGUGUUCAUAAUGGAAAAAUUCAUGUCUCUAGCACUAUGCUUACGCAAUGCAUGGGCAAUUCUAUAUCCAACUAAAGAGACAUCUCUCUCGAACCAAUCAGCCUCCCUUAAAGACAUGUCUUGGACAACGUAGUCAAUGUGCUUCAUCACGUUGACUCCGCAAUCAAAAUCAUUCUUUUGUUUAGGUCGCUUGGCCUUGAAUGCCCACACCAUUUUUUUCUUUAGGAAUUUUUAUUGGGACGCCAAAUCUAGAUGGCGUUUGCAACGAAAUCACACUGUACACUAAACAAACAUAAUAUUAGUAGGACACUAUAACAUAAAUGUAAUUGGAAAAUCAAAUAGUCAAAAGUGCGGACGUACCACAUAUUCUUUAUGUAAUCG